UUGUCACCUGGAGUUCUCCACAAACUACUUCAGUAGUAGCUACACACACCAAGUUUAAUGCACUGUGUUUGCAUGUUUGUGUGGAGCUGUGUGUGUACAUAGUGAAGUAUUUGGGGGAACUCUAGGUGGCAA
rnacentral:pre_miRNA from 2 species